rnacentral:rRNA from 1 species
GACGGAGGGUGCUAGCGUUGUUCGGAAUCACUGGGCGUAAAGGGAGCGUAGGCGGGUUUCUAAGUCAGGUGUUUAAUCCCGGGGCCCAACCCCGGACAGGCACUUGAAACUGGGAAUCUUGAAUAGUGGAGAGGUCAGUGGAAUUGGGGGUGUAGCGGUGGAAUGCGUAGAGAUCCCCAAGAACACCAGUUGCGAAGGCGGCUGACUGGACACAUAUUGACGCUGAGGCUCGAAAGCAUGGGGAGCAAACAGG